GAGUUUGAUCUUGGCUCAGGAUGAACGCUAGCGGCAGGCUUAAUACAUGCAAGUCGAGGGGCAGCAUGGUUGUAGCAAUACAACUGAUGGCGACCGGCAAACGGGUGCGGAACACGUACACAACCUUCCUUCGAGCGGGGAAUAGCCCAGAGAAAUUUGGAUUAAUACCCCAUAGCAUAUUGAAGAGGCAUCUCUUUAAUAUUAAAGAUUUAUCACUUGAAGAUGGGUGUGCGGCUGAUUAGGUAGUUGGCGGGGUAACGGCCCACCAAGCCUGCGAUCAGUAACUGGUGUGAGAGCACGACCAGUCACACGGGCACUGAGACACGGGCCCGACUCCUACGGGAGGCAGCAGUAAGGAUAUUGGUCAAUGGACGCAAGUCUGAACCAGCCAUGCCGCGUGGAGGAUGAAGGUCCUCUGGAUUGUAAACCUCUUUUAUCUGGGACGAAAAAAGGCUUUUCUAAGUCGUCUGACGGUACC
rnacentral:rRNA from 1 species